GAAUAAAGGACAACCAUUUCAUUACUGUGAGGAGAAGCUGGACUAUUCUUACAAGUGUAUUUUCUAGUGCAAAAGAAUUCAAUUUGGGCAGAACACAUAACUUAUCAUUUUUUGAUAAGUGAGCAGGUUAUCAAACCAUUUAUAGAAUUACUUUAGAAUAAUUCAUGUACAUUAAUUAAUAUAAAAUUAGGCUGAUUUUAUGAUGCACCUUGACAGAUUUUACCCAUCAAUCAUAUUUGAAGAACCUGCUUUUUAUUCAGUAAGGAAAAGCUUAACUUUGAGCACAUGGCAAUGGCAUAUAUUUCAUUGGGAGCAGGCUUAGGAAUUUCUUCAUUAGGAAUAAU